GCCGACGUAGCUCAGUUGGUAGAGCAACGCUUUCGUAAAGCGUAGGUCUCCGGUUCGAGUCCGGACGUCGGCACCA
rnacentral:tRNA from 1 species